GCUCUUUCAGUUGAAAGACAUUUCCCCUUGUCCCAUCACUACAUACCCUUAUAAAAAGCCCUUUCCCAGCUUUACUGCCGGGCCCCUUCUGGUACUGGAAGGCCAUCAUAAGGUCCCCCAGGAGACUUCUUUUUUCCAGGCUGAAGAGACUCAACUCUCUGAGUGUCCUCAUAGAUGAGGUGAUAAUUGAGGAUGUUGUGGUUCUCAACUUUAUUUGUGUCCCACAAUGGCAGCUGACAUAUGACAUAUCCAAUGGAGUAUCCGUUAUACACAAAAGACUAACUUGCAGAAGGCAAAUUCAACAUAUAAAGCAAGCUAGAGACACUGUGCACCUAUCAGCAAGAUAAAUGCGCUGGCAUGAUUCAGACCCUUUUUUUCUGUUUGUGUAGCUGCAUGCAGACAGGUAUCCCAGGAGCUUCUGCCUCAUGGACACUCCACAGCAGCCCAUCAUCAAUGCCUGAAAAUUUGUUUGAAAUCACCAAGCUUCCACCUGUAAUUGCUGUUUUCUAACACUACUGGGGAAUCUGAAGAAUUCAAGCGCACUCUUUAAUCCAGCUCUACAGGAAAAAUGCAUUAACCUUUGUGGCCUAAACCUGCCUUCAGCCCAGGGAGGAAGAAUAAAUUGUUUACUCAAGGAAAGCUAGUAUAAAUUUUUUAAUAAAUUCCAUUUUGUUCCAAGGUUAACAAUUCAUCUAUGAUCACUGAUGAGAUGGCACCAGAAAACAAAACUGCUGGUUUUACUUUUUCCCUGACAGCUAGAUUUAUUGAAAUUUUUUUGGAUGACAAAGCUAUGUUCAGACAUUAAUGUAGAUUAGAUUAAAAGGCUGUUGAAAUUGUCUGCAAGUUCUUAACAAAUAAGGGAUUUUACCCUAGUAUUUAUACAUUGUUUCACAUACACACACAAAAAAAAUUGCAAAAUCUAUUUAAUCAGGUAAAAAAAUAAAACCCCCAAAAAAGCAUAGUGACACAGUAUUCAUCAACGAAGUCUGGUGUUAUGCUAUCUACAGAAUUGAAAGGUUUCUCUGUACCUUCAAAAUAUUAUAUUAUCUAUCAUAUGUAUCAAAAUGUAAUACUAUGAUAGGCACUUCAUUUUGAACAGAAAUUCCUCUGGAUAUGACUGCACGUAUGUUACAGUAUGAAUUGUCUGCUCCCAUCAAUAGCCUUAUGAAACACCUGCUGCUAACAUAACAUCAGAAUUCACCACCACAACUCAAGACUGCCAAGACUCAGUGAUGGAGAAAGAGCAUGGCAAAAGCCUUGAUGGACUUCAGAAUUCCUUGCUAGCACACUAGCUCCCUGGAAAACAAUGUUCAGGUGUCAAAAAUGAAUGACUCUAAAUUUUAAAAGAGUCAAAAGACCAAUGGCUUCAGGGUAAGAUUAACUGAAAGAUAACCAGGUCCUGUCAUCUUAUACAUCUAUCUACUUGCUACUCAUGCUUUAUUGUGAUAUUAAUAAGAUUUUAAACAUCAGUUCUAUUUUCAAAGUAUUUUUUUGUAGUAUUAUCUGUUGUUAAGUAGGCUCUUCUUUUUUUUUCCCUUCACUACCACAAUGGCAAAAAACAAACUAAUAUUUGUCCUUGGUGAAAGUUGCAUGGUUAAAGAGACAACUAAAUUAACUUUAAAAUCAGAAGACAGCAAGAUAAUAAAGCUGCAUAAAGCAAACUGUCAGCUUCAUGUUAGCCACAUACAACUUGUAGCAGUUGCUUUGUUGUUGUUACUCACCCGC